rnacentral:tRNA from 12 species
CAUGACCCUGCCUGGUGGUGUGUGCAGGCUUCAAACCUGUAGGGGCUUAGCGGGGGGGCCCAGUGGUUCGAUUCCACCUUG